AUCGGGCCCAUACCCCGAAAAUGAUGGUUCAACCCCUUCCCAUGCUA
rnacentral:tRNA from 1 species